rnacentral:rRNA from 1 species
UACGGAGGGUGCGAGCGUCGUUCGGAAUUACUGGGCGUAAAGGGCGCGUAGGCGGCCGUUUGCGUCGGAUGUGAAAGCCCGGGGCUCAACCUCGGAACGGCAUUCGAUACGGGACGGCUAGAGACCGGGAGAGGAGAGUGGAAUAGCCAGUGUAGAGGUGAAAUUCGUAGAUAUUGGCUGGAACACCGGUGGCGAAAGCGGCUCUCUGGCCCGGUUCUGACGCUGAGGCGCGAAAGCGUGGGGAGCAAACAGG